rnacentral:miRNA from 1 species
GGGCUCCUCUCUCCUGGCAUG